rnacentral:rRNA from 1 species
CGGGGUGCAGCAGGCGCGAAAACUUUGCAAUACACGAAAGUGUGACAGGGCUAUCCCGAGUGCCAUCCGCUGAGGAAGGCUUUUACCCAGUCUAGAACGCUGGGGGAAUAAGGAGAGGGCAAGUCUGGUGUCAGCCGCCGCGGUAAUACCAGCUCUCCGAGUGGUGUGGAUGUUUAUUGGACCUAAAGCAUCCGUAGCUGGCUAAGUUAGUCCCUUGUUAAAUCCACCGAAUUAAUCGUUGGAUUGCGGGGGAUACUGCUUGGCUAGGGGACGAGAGAGGCAGACGGUAUUUCCGGGGUAGGGGUGAAAUCCUAUAAUCCCGGGAAGACCACCAGUGGCGAAGGCUGUCUGCUAGAACGCGCCCGACGGUGAGGGAUGAAAGCUGGGGGAGCGAACCGGAUUAGAUACCCGGGUAGUCCCAGCUGUAAACGAUGCAGGCUAGGUGUUUGGACGGCCACGUGCCGUUCUAGUGCCGCAGGGAAGCUGUUAAGCCUGCCGCCUGGGGAGUACGAUCGCAAGAUUGAAACUUAAAGGAAUUGGCGGGGGAGCACAAGGGCGAUUCGCG